rnacentral:rRNA from 1 species
GGUAUAGACCCGAAACCCGGUGAUCUAGCCAUGGGCAGGUUGAAGGUUGGGUAACACUAACUGGAGGACCGAACCGACUAAUGUUGAAAAAUUAGCGGAUGACUUGUGGCUGGGGGUGAAAGGCCAAUCAAACCGGGAGAUAGCUGGUUCUCCCCGAAAUCUAUUUAGGUAGAGCCUUGAGCGGACACCUUCGGGGGUAGAGCACUGUUUCGGCUAGGGGUCCAUCCCGGAUUACCAACCCGAUGCAAACUACGAAUACCGAAGAGUGAUACUCAGGAGACACACGGCGGGUGCUAACGUCCGUCGUGGAGAGGGAAACAACCCAGACCGCCAGCUAAGGUCCCAAAGUCUAUAUUAAGUGGGAAACGAAGUGGGAAGGCUUAGACAGCUAGGAUGUUGGCUUAGAAGCAGCCAUCAUUUAAAGAAAGCGUAAUAGCUCACUAGUCGAGUCGGCCUGCGCGGAAGAUGUAACGGGGCUCAAAUAUAGCACCGAAGCUGCGGCAUCAGACGAAAGUCUGUUGGGUAGGGGAGCGUUCUGUAAGCGGAUGAAGGUGGUUCGAGAGGGCUGCUGGACGUAUCAGAAGUGCGAAUGCUGACAUAAGUAACGAUAAAACGGGUGAAAAACCCGUUCGCCGGAAGACCAAGGGUUCCUGUCCAACGUUAAUCGGGGCAGGGUGAGUCGGCCCCUAAGGCGAGGCUGAAAAGCGUAGUCGAUGGGAAACGGGUUAAUAUUCCCGUACUUGGAUAAACUGCGAUGUGGGGACGGAGCAGGUUAGGUUAUCGCACUGUUGGAUAUGUGCGUUUAAGUUGGUAGGUGUGAAGUUUAGGCAAAUCCGGACUUCUUUAACACUGAGAGAUGAUGACGAGGCUCUACGGAGCUGAAGUAACCGAUACCACACUUCCAGGAAAAGCCACUAAGCUUCAGGUUUAUCUAAACCGUACUGAAAACCGACACAGGUGGUCAGGUAGAGAAUACUCAGGCGCUUGAGAGAACUCGGGUGAAGGAACUAGGCAAAAUAGCACCGUAACUUCGGGAGAAGGUGCGCCGGCGUAGAUUGUAGUCCCUCGCGGGCGAAGGUUGAACCGGUCGAAGAUACCAGCUGGCUGCAACUGUUUAUUAAAAACACAGCACUCUGCAAACACGAAAGUGGACGUAUAGGGUGUGAUGCCUGCCCGGUGCUGGAAGGUUAAUUGAUGGUGUAAUCGAAAGAGAAGCUCCUGAUCGAAGCCCCAGUAAACGGCGGCCGUAACUAUAACGGUCCUAAGGUAGCGAAAUUCCUUGUCGGGUAAGUUCCGACCUGCACGAAUGGCAUAAUGAUGGCCAGGCUGUCUCCACCCGAGACUCAGUGAAAUUGAAAUCGCCGUGAAGAUGCGGUGUACCCGCGGCUAGACGGAAAGACCCCGUGAACCUUUACUAUAGCUUGACACUGAACAUUGAAUUUUGAUGUGUAGGAUAGGUGGGAGACUAUGAAGUAGUCACGCCAGUGAUUAUGGAGUCGUCCUUGAAAUACCACCCUUUAACGUUUGAUGUUCUAACGAAGAUUACGAAACGUGGUCUCGGACAGUGUCUGGUGGGUAGUUUGACUGGGGCGGUCUCCUCCCAAAGAGUAACGGAGGAGCACGAAGGUUUGCUAAUGACGGUCGGACAUCGUCAGGUUAGUGCAAUGGUAUAAGCAAGCUUAACUGCGAGACAGACAAGUCGAGCAGGUACGAAAGUAGGUCAUAGUGAUCCGGUGGUUCUGAAUGGAAGGGCCAUCGCUCAACGGAUAAAAGGUACUCCGGGGAUAACAGGCUGAUACCGCCCAAGAGUUCAUAUCGACGGCGGUGUUUGGCAC